rnacentral:rRNA from 1 species
AAUGAACGUUGGCGGCAUGGAUUAGGCAUGCAAGUCGAGCGAAAACUCAUAGAUUGAAACUUCGGUCGAUUUCUAUAAGGGACAGCGGCGAAAGGGUGAGUAACGCGUAGUUACGUGCCCCAGGCUCUGGAAUAGCCACGGGAAACUGUAGGUAAUGCCAGAUAAUAUCUCCGGAUCAAAGGUGUGAUUCCGGCCUGGGAGCGGACUGCGUCCUACUAGCUUGUUGGUGGGGUAAUGGCCUACCAAGGCUUCGAUGGGUAGCGGGCGUGAGAGCGUGGCCCGCCACACUGGGACUGAGACACUGCCCAGACACCUACGGGUGGCUGCAGUCGAGAAUCUUCGGCAAUGGACGAAAGUCUGACCGAGCGAUGCCGCGUGCGGGAUGAAGGCCCUCGGGUUGUAAACCGCGAAAGUAAGGAGGAAGGCCCCGUGAAGAGCGGGUUUUGACCAAUCUACAGUAAGGACGGGCUAAGUUCGUGCCAGCAGCCGCGGUAACACGAACCGUCCAAACGUUAUUCGGAAUUAUUGGGCUUAAAGGGUGCGUAGGCGGCGUGUUAAGUCGGGUGUGAAAUCCCAGAGCUCAACUCUGGAACUGCGCCCGAUACUG